rnacentral:rRNA from 1 species
UACGUAGGGUGCAAGCGUUUGUCCGGAAUUAUUGGGCGUAAAGAGCUCGUAGGCGGUUCGUCGCGUCGGUUGUGAAAUCCCGGAGCUCAACUCCGGGUCUGCAGUCGAUACGGGCGGACUCGAGUUCGGCAGGGGAGACUGGAAUUCCUGGUGUAGCGGUGAAAUGCGCAGAUAUCAGGAGGAACACCGGUGGCGAAGGCGGGUCUCUGGGCCGAUACUGACGCUGAGGAGCGAAAGCGUGGGGAGCGAACAGG